rnacentral:rRNA from 1 species
UAAGUUUGAUCCUGGCUCCGGCGAAUGCUGGCGGCGUGCUUAACACAUGCAAGUCGAACGGGCUCAUAUUGAAACCUAGUGAUUUAUGAGUUAGUGGCGGACGGGUGAGUAACGCGUGGAAAACCUGCCGUAUACUGGGGGAUAACACUUAGAAAUAGGUGCUAAUACCGCAUAAGCGCACAGCUUCGCAUGAAGUGGUGUGAAAAACUCUGGUGGUAUACGAUGGUUCCGCGUCUGAUUAGCUUGUUGGUGGGGUAAUGGCUCACCAAGGCGACGAUCAGUAGCCGGCCUGAGAGGGUGAACGGCCACAUUGGGACUGAGACACGGCCCAAACUCCUACGGGAGGCAGCAGUGGGGAAUAUUGCACAAUGGGGGAAACCCUGAUGCAGCGACGCCGCGUGAGUGAAGAAGUAUUUCGGUAUGUAAAGCUCUAUCAGCAGGGAAGAAAUAGCGACCUUUGGGUCGCCAGACGGUACCUGAUUAAGAAGCCCCGGCUAACUACGUGCCAGCAGCCGCGGUAAUACGUAGGGGGCAAGCGUUAUCCGGAUUUACUGGGUGUAAAGGGAGCGUAUGCGGCAGCGCACGUCUGAAGUGAAAUGCCGGGGCUUAACCCCGGAACUGCUUUGGAAACUGUGCAGCUAGAGUGCAGGAGAGGUAAGUGGAAUUCCUAGUGUAGCGGUGAAAUGCGUAGAUAUUAGGAGGAACACCAGUGGCGAAUGCGGCUUACUGGACUGUAACUGACGUUGAGGCUCGAAAGCGUGUGGAGCAAACAGGAUUAGAUACCCUGGUAGUCCACGCUGUAACGAUGAUUACUAGGUGUUGGGGGACCAAGUCCUUCGGUGCCGUCGCAAACGCAUUAAUUAUCCACCUGGGGAGUACGUUCGCAGAAUGAACUCAAGGAAUGACGGGACCCGCACAGCGUGGAGCAUGUGGUUAAUUCGAGCACCGAAGACCUUACUUGUCUUGACUCCGAUGACAGUGAGCAAGUCACUUUCCCUUCGGGCAUUGAAACGUUGAUGCAUGUUGUCUC